UACGGGGGGGGCAAGCGUUGUUCGGAAUUACUGGGCGUAAAGGGCUCGUAGGCGGCCAACUAAGUCAGACGUGAAAUCCCUCGGCUUAACCGGGGAACUGCGUCUGAUACUGGAUGGCUAGAGGUUGGGAGAGGGAUGCGGAAUUCCAGGUGUAGCGGUGAAAUGCGUAGAUAUCUGGAGGAACACCGGUGGCGAAGGCGGCAUCCUGGACCAAUUCUGACGCUGAGGCGCGAAAGCCAGGGGAGCGAACGGG
rnacentral:rRNA from 1 species